rnacentral:rRNA from 1 species
AACGAACGCUGGCGGCGUGCUUAACACAUGCAAGUCGAACGAGAAGUACGUAGCAAUACGUAUUGUAAAGUGGCGCACGGGUGAGUAACACGUGGGUAAUCUGCCCUUGAGUUUGGGAUAACCCCGCGAAAGCGGGGCUAAUACCGAAUAAGACCACAGGGACCAAAGUCCCUGAGGUAAAAGAUGGCCUCUAUUUAUAAGCUAUCACUUGAGGAUGAGCCCGCGGCCCAUUAGCUAGUUGGUAGGGUAACGGCCUACCAAGGCUAUGAUGGGUAGCUGGUCUGAGAGGACGAUCAGCCACACUGGAACUGAGACACGGUCCAGACUCCUACGGGAGGCAGCAGUGGGGAAUAUUGCGCAAUGGGCGAAAGCCUGACGCAGCAACGCCGCGUGGGGGAUGAAGGUUUUCGGAUUGUAAACCCCUUUCGACCGGAACGAAUCUCCUCCUGGUAAAUAAUCAGGAGGAUUGACGGUACCGGGAGAAGAAGCCACGGCUAACUCUGAGCCAGCCGCCGCAGUAAGAC